CAGCAUCGAUACAAACGGUCUAAAAAAGGAAUUAGAAAAGUGGCUCCUUCCGGGGAGUGUUACAGCCCGGGACUCAAUGCGGCCAGCCGGGACCGAGGGUCGCGCAUUCGCUAGGAUGCUGGCGUAAUGGUUGCCAGCGACCCGUCUUGAAACACGGACCAAGGAGUCGACCAACCGCGCGAGUGUUUGGGUAUAAAACCCAUGCGCGUAAUGAACGUGAACGGAGGUGGGAGCCCUCGGGCCCCAUCGACCGAUCUUGAUGUUUUCGGAUGGAUUUGAGUAAGAGCGUGGUUGGCCGGACCCGAAAGAUGGUGAACUAUGCGUGAAUAGGGUGAAGCCAGAGGAAACUCUGGUGGAGGCUCACAGCGGUUCUGACGUGCAAAUCGAUCGUCAAAUUUGCGCAUAGGGGCGAAAGACUAAUCGAACCAUCAGUCC
rnacentral:rRNA from 1 species